GGGAGAAGACAUUGUGUCUUCGAGUCGUUGAUUUCACACUGCCGAGAAAAGCCUCUAGAUAGAAAAUAGGUGCCCGUACCGCAAACCGACACAGGUAGUCAAGAUGAGAAUUCUAAGGUGAGCGAGCGAACUCUCGUUAAGGAACUCGGCAAAAUGACCCCGUAACUUCGGGAGAAGGGGUGCUCUUUAGGGUUAACGCCCAGAAGAGCCGCAGUGAAUAGGCCCAAGCGACUGUUUAUCAAAAACACAGGUCUCUGCUAAACCGUAAGGUGAUGUAUAGGGGCUGACGCCUGCCCGGUGCUGGAAGGUUAAGAGGAGUGGUUAGCUUCUGCGAAGCUACGAAUCGAAGCCCCAGUAAACGGCGGCCGUAACUAUAACGGUCCUAAGGUAGCGAAAUUCCUUGUCGGGUAAGUUCCGACCCGCACGAAAGGCGUAACGAUUUGGGCACUGUCUCAACGAGAGACUCGGUGAAAUCAUAGUACCUGUGAAGAUGCAGGUUACCCGCGACAGGACGGAAAGACCCCGUGGAGCUUUACUGUAGCCUGAUAUUGAAAUUCGGCACAGCUUGUACAGGAUAGGUAGGAGCCUUUGAAACGUGAGCGCUAGCUUACGUGGAGGCGCUGGUGGGAUACUACCCUAGCUGUGUUGGCUUUCUAACCCGCACCACUUAUCGUGGUGGGAGACAGUGUCAGGCGGGCAGUUUGACUGGGGCGGUCGCCUCCUAAAAGGUAACGGAGGCGCUCAAAGGUUCCCUCAGAAUGGUUGGAAAUCAUUCAUAGAGUGUAAAGGCAUAAGGGAGCUUGACUGCGAGACCUACAAGUCGAGCAGGGUCGAAAGACGGACUUAGUGAUCCGGUGGUUCCGCAUGGAAGGGCCAUCGCUCAACGGAUAAAAGCUACCCCGGGGAUAACAGGCUUAUCUCCCCCAAGAGUUCACAUCGACGGGGAGGUUUGGCACCUCGAUGUCGGCUCAUCGCAUCCUGGGGCUGUAGUCGGUCCCAAGGGUUGGGCUGUUCGCCCAUUAAAGCGGUACGCGAGCUGGGUUCAGAACGUCGUGAGACAGUUCGGUCCCUAUCCGUCGUGGGCGUAGGAAAUUUGAGAGGAGCUGUCCUUAGUACGAGAGGACCGGGAUGGACAUACCUCUGGUGUACCAGUUGUCGUGCCAACGGCAUAGCUGGGUAGCUAUGUGUGGACGGGAUAAGUGCUGAAAGCAUCUAAGCAUGAAGCCCCCCUCAAGAUGAGAUUUCCCAACUUCGGUUAUAAGAUCCCUCAAAGAUGAUGAGGUUAAUAGGUUCGAGGUGGAAGCAUGGUGACAUGUGGAGCUGACGAAUACUAAUCGAUCGAAGACUUAAUCAAAA
rnacentral:rRNA from 1 species